UUUCCUGUCCUCCAACCAGACC
rnacentral:miRNA from 1 species